rnacentral:lncRNA from 1 species
GAUUCUUCUGACAAGCUAUAAACAAGGAAGAUACUUUAUCCUCAUCACAUUUAUUAACAUCUGCCUUGUAGUCAAGUAACAGCUUCACUGCUUUAGUAUCACCUUCUUGUGACGAAACAAAUACAGGACUAACACCAUCAAAUCUACAUUGGUUAACAUCUGCACCAUGAUAACAACACCACUGAAUUAAAGAAAAGUCACAUAUAAAACAACAAUCCAAUAGUGCAUUAUUUUU